rnacentral:rRNA from 1 species
CCUACGGGUGGCAGCAGUGAGGAAUAUUGGUCAAUGGACGGAAGUCUGAACCAGCCAUGCCGCGUGCAGGAAGACGGCUCUAUGAGUUGUAAACUGCUUUUGUACAAGGGUAAACCUGCAUACGUGUAUUCAGCUGAAAGUACUAUACGAAUAAGGAUCGGCUAAUUCCGUGCCAGCAGCCGCGGUAAUACGGAGGAUCCAAGCGUUCUCCGGAUUUAGUGGGUUUAAAGGGUGCGUAGGCGGAUUGAUAAGUUAGAGCUGAAAGGGCCGAGCUUAACUCGGGAACUGCCUCGAAUACUGUUGAUAUAGGGAGUAGAUGCGGAAGGCGGAAUGGAUGGUGUAGCGGGGAAAUGCU